AAAGUACUCCCUCCGUCCCAAAAUUCAUGCCUUAGAUUUGUCUAGAUACGGAUGUAUCAAGUCACAUUUUAGUAUUAGAUACAUCCGUAUCUAGAAAAAUCUAAGACAAGAAAUUUGGGACAGAGGGAGUAGUUG
rnacentral:pre_miRNA from 1 species